UUCCGGGCAGCGGCGGCUGGAUCCCGGAUCCUUUCUCCGGUGCCAGGGGCUCCAGGGCGACUGUGGCCGCCCGCCCGCUCCUUGCAGCCCGCCGGAGAGCAGUCUCGCUGUGCGGGGCGCACGGGCACCUUGGAGGCUGAACUUUGAGCGGACACGCGGCCAGGGCCAAAGCGCUGUCUAAAAAUACCCCUUCUGGUGGGUGGCAGCACAAAGCCGGGCGUGCUCAGACUUGGCAGGUGCUGACGGCCACCGUGACCCUUUACCUUGCACCCAACUCUGAAGCGGAGACCUUGUUUCCUAUAUGUCUGCGAAGUGACAAGCAGUCCUGGAUAAAUAAUAAAUCAUGUACAAGGUUUCUGUGGCUGGAUAACUGGACUGAGCAGGAGCACUGGGGAGUGAGAGUGAUAUGCUGGGUAUUGGUGCAGUGAGGCAGCAAAAAGCCUGCUGAUCAAGCCUUCUCUUCACAUCCUGCCUCCUUGACUCCAUAACCCCGUUCAUCAGCUAUCCUCCUUACUGCCUCAUCUGCCUCCCUGGUUAUGUCUACACUGCAAAACCAAAACAAAACCCCCCACAGCAGCAAGUCUCAGUCUCUGAUCCAUUGUCUCAGGUUUGUGCUAUGGCACUCAAAAUAGCAAUGUAGACAUUCCCUCCCACUCAGGUUGGAGCUCAGGCUCUGAGACCCACCCUCCUCACCAGAUUUCAUAGCCUGAGUGGGAGCAUCUACACGACUACGUUUAGCAUUGUAGCACAGACCUCACAAGCCUGAGUCUGUAGACCUGGGUUCUAUGACUCUGCCAUGGUUUAUUUUGUUUGCUUGUUUGUUUGCAGUGUCCGUGUACCCCCUGGCUUCUCUGCCUGCUAGCUCAGACGCUGUUGCUCAUCCCAAAGUUACCUACAGUCUACACAAAUCUGUAGUCUCUUCACUCUUAGUGUUGUAAAUUAUUGACAUCAGAAAUUAAAAUCAUGAAGCUGAAGUUACAGAAAUAGUUAUUUACACUAAGAGAAGGAGUUCUCUGCAUGAAUAAUUUGAGUCUCUCCUUUUGUGUCUUUGAUAAACACUUGAGUAUUAGCCGGUUGAGAGGUACGCCUAGUUGUUUUUAUGUCUCCCUCAAGCCUUCCAGAGAUUUGCUAAGAUACACUAGCAAUAAAGUGUCUUUCCAUUCUGUCAAAUGUAGGAAGUCGGUCAGAGAAAGAAGCGGCUCCUAAGAGGAGAUAGGUUGCGAUGAAACACAGGUUGAUGGUGUCAAGAUUGGAUAAUGAGACAUUAUCAGUGCAUCUCACUGUAAGUUCUCGCAGUCAUUUUGAAAAUAUAAUAAAGCUUGUUAACUAUGACAUUCAAAUAACUAUGGACCUAAAUUGUUGUAAUUUAUUUUUAAUUAAGUACAUAGCACUUGCCUUUUUCUCUAAAAUAUCCUGGCUGUUUCUAUCUAAUUAAGCCCCUGUUACCUUCCUACCUAUUCCUAUAAUUACCUUCAUUAUUGCAAUGCCUCUGUACAGCAUUCAAUAUGUCUGGCUCCUGGGGCAUUGUAUUAUAAAAUGGGUGCAGUGUAUAUGUUUCUAACUGACUUUUGAAAGUGCAUGUAUCAAACUUAAUUUCCUUUUAAGUCAUAGCCUUGCAGCAAGUGACCUUAAAAGCUAUGUCAAUAUUUGUUUGAUGUAAAAUCAUUUUGUCCAAAGACACUUAUCCCUGCUGAUUUAACGAUACAAAGAAAAAGGGACUAAAGAAAGGAACCUAAGGCAAACAUUUACUGGUGUAUAGUAAAGCAUCAUGUUCAGAUGGCAUAUUCUGAAAUGUACCCUGUUACAUUAGGGGAGGGAAAGAUUGUAUGCUUUUUUUUCCCUUUAUAACUGAUGCUUCGAAUUAUUAUUCAAAACAUGCACUGCCACUCAACAGGAAAUCUCUAACUGGUCAUUUCAAAGGAUCAUGUGUUUGUGAAGAUACACCAGGAGAAAAAAUUGUUGCUAAGAGAGUAGGAUUCAGCAAAGCACGUAAGCACAUGUUUUGUGGUCCCUUGUGACCUUAGUCUCUUAAUCUUGUUUGUGAAUCUUAAAUUGCAGAAUUUCUCAUUUCUUCCAUUAUUUCCAUGAAGAACAGUGAAACCAUCCAUUCUGUGUAAUGUAAGCCAAACAGUGUAGCUGUUAUCUGAGAUUUAUUACUGAGUCUCAUCUUGGAUAUCUGAUUCAGCCAGGGUUUAAAGAACAACUCAUGCUUUUGAAGACUUAAAAUGUGGAAAUGGAUAUCUUGGUGGUCUUAGAUUCAUAGAUAUUAAGGUCAGAAGGGACCAUUAUGAUCAUCUAGUCUGACUUCCUGCACAACGCAGGCCACAGAAUCUCACCCACCCACUCCUGCGAAAAACCUCUCACCUAUGUCUGAGGUAUUGAAGUCCUCAAAUCAUGGUUUAAAGACUUCAAGGAGCAGAGAAUCCUCCAGCAAGUGACCUGUGCCCCAUGCUACAGAGGAAGGCGAAAAUCCUCCAGGGCCUCUUCCAAUCUGCCCUGGAGAAAAAUUCCUUCCCAACCACAAAUAUGACGAUCAGUUAAACCCUGAGCAUAUGGGCAAGAUUCACCAGCCAGAUACCCAGGAAAGAAUUCUCUGUAGUAACUCAGAUCCCACCCAUCUAACAUCCCAUCACAGGCCAUUGGGCCUAUUUACCAUGAAUAGUUAAAGAUCAAUUAAUUGCCAAAAUCAUGUUAUCCCAUCAUACCAUCUCCUCCAUAAACUUUAUCGAGUUUAAUCCUAAAGCCAGAUAGGUCUUUUGCCCCCACUGCUUCCCUUGGAAGGCUAUUCCAAAACUUCACUCCUCUGAUGGUUAGAAACCUUUGUCUAAUUUCAAGUCUAAACUUCCCAAUGACCAGUUUAUAUCCAUUUGUUCUUAUGUCCACAUUGGUACUGAGCUUAAAUAAUUCCUCUCCCUCUCCGGUAUUUAUCCCUCUGAUAUAUUUAUAGAGAGCAAUCAUAUCUCCUCUCAACCUUCUUUUAGUUAGGCUAAACAAGCCACGCUCCUUGAGUCUCCUUUCAUAAGACAGGUUUUCCAUUCCUCGGAUCAUCCUAGUAGCCCUUCUCUGUACCUGUUCCAGUUUGAAUUCAUCCUUCUUAAACAUGGGAGACCAGAACUGCACAGAGUAUUCUAGGUGAGGUCUCACCAGUGCCUUGUAUAACGGUACUAAAACCUCCUUAUCUCUACUGGAAAUACCUCGCCUGAUGCAUCCCAAGACCGCAUUACCUUUUUUCACGGCCAUAUCACAUUGGCAGCUCAUAGUCAUCCUAUGAUCAACCAAUACUCCAAGGGCCUUCUCCUCCUCCGUUACUUCUAAUUGAUGCGUCCCCAGCUUCUAACUAAAAUUCUUGUUAUUAAUCCCUAAAUGCAUAACCUUACACUUCUCACUAUUAAAUUUCAUCCUAUUACUAUUACUCCAGUUUACAAGGUCAUCCAAAUCUUCCUGUAUGAUAUCCUGGUCUCUCUCUAAAUUGGCAAUACUUCCCAGCUUUGUAUCAUCCGCAAACUUUAUUAGCGCACUCCCACUUUUUGUGCCCAGGUCAGUAAUAAAAAGAUUAAAUAAGAUUGGUCCCAAAACUGAUCCCUGAGGAACUCCACUGGUAACCUCCCUCCAGCCUGACAGUUCACCUUUCAGUAGGACCCACUGUAGUCUCCCUGUUAACCAAUUCCUUAUUCACCUUUCAAUGUUCAUAUUGAUCCCCAUCUUUUCCAAUGUAACUAAUAAUUCCCCAUGUGGCACGGUAUCAAACGCCUUACUGAAAUCUGGGUAAAUUAGAUCCACUGCAUUUCCUUUGUCUAAAAAAUCUGUUACUUUCUCAAAGAAGGAGAUCAGGUUGGUUUGGCAUAGUCUACCUUUUGUAAAACCAUGUUGUAUUUUGUCCCAUUUACCAUUGACCUCAAUGUCCUUAACUACUUUCUCCUUCAAAAAUUUUUCCAAGACCUUGCAUACUACAGAUGUCAAACUAACAAACUAACUACUAAAAUCUGUAGUUACCCAGAUCAUUUUUUUUCCUUUCUUAAAAAUAGGAACUAUGUUAGCAAUUCUCCAAUCAUACGGUACAACCCCUGAGUUUACAGAUUCAUUAAAAAUUCUUGCUAAUGGGCUUGCAAUUUCAUGUGCCAAUUCCUUUAAUAUUCUUGGAUGAAGAUUAUUUGGGCCCCCCCAUUUAGUCCCAUUAAGCUGUUUGAGUUUCGCUUCUGCCUCAGAUAUGGUAAUAUCUACCUCCAUAUCCUCAUUCCCAUUUGUCAUGCUACCAUUAUCCCUUAGAUCCUCUUAAGCCUUAUUAAAGACUGAGGCAAAGUAUUUGUUUAGAUAUUGGGCCAUGCCUAGAUUAUCCUUGAUCUCCACUCCAUCCUCAGUGUCUUGCAUGUCAGGGCUUUCCAGUGAUGGCUCUGUUAUGUUCUAAUCUAGCAAUGUAUAUUCUUCCAGGUCAUCUGUCUUUCUCAAGGCUCCCAUCUUUGCCUGAGGAGCUUACCAAAGCAUAGUAGCAAUGCAGUCUGCAAAAUAAGUCCUUGAUCCUGCCGUGACGCACAUAUGUGCUUAACUUUACACGCUGUCAUGGGGUUCAAUGGGACUACUCACACUGCAUGUUAAGAACAUGUGUAAGUCAUUGUAGGGUCAGGGCUUAAGAUGUUAACAGCAUGAUUCAAUGUUUUACCCCUUGACUUCAAAACAUGCAGUGUAAUAGUGGAAGAACUUUUCUUUCUGACUACUUGUCCAUGUGGAAAAAAUACACCAUACAUGAAUGCAAUAUAAGCAGUACAUAUGUUAUACAACAGGCUUCCAUGACUUCUAUAUAAACUAUUUUUAAGGAUGCUCCUGAGAUUAGGGCACUAGCCAAGAAUUUAGGAGAUCAAGGCUAAUUUCCCAGAUCUGCCACAGACUUCCUGUGUGACCUUGAGCAAGUCAUUUAAACUCUCUGUGCCUCUGUUCACCAUGUAAAAUGGGAAUAAUAAUACUUCCCUACCUCAUAGAGAUGUUGUGGGGAUAAAUAUGUUAAAGACUGUGAAGUGCUUUGAGAUCUACUGAGGAAAAGCACUAUUAUAAAGUUAUGUAUUAAAGUGGUUACCCAUUUGAAAUAUAUAUGAGCUAUACUUUCAUAUAUGAAAUAUAUAUUUCCUUUAGUAGAGGCAAGGCAAUCAGUUUGAGUGGGAAGUUUAUUUAAUAUGUGAUUUAUACUUUUCUGAUACAAUAAAUACUUGUGCAAUUUGAUUGGUUAACGUAUAUAUAAUGCAAUUGUGAUAAUGUGGAUCAAUUUUAGCCAAACGAAACUCUAAUUUUAAUACCACCAGUAUCACACUCAUCUAAUUUGCACUAAAAUUGAAAACUGUUCAGUAUGCAUUUGCAUAAGUCUUCUAAAACAGAAUGCUUUUGAGCAAGGUAAAGCCAUAAUUAGAGGGGGGAAAUUACCGUCUAGUUAAAAAGCAAUGUGAAAAAGGUACUGUCAUGCAGUUUUGUGUUCAGAAAUAUAUGAACCAGCUAAAGUACUGAAUAUGCUACUGCAAUUGUUUAAGAAAAUAGAUGGAAAAUUAAUAUUCUUUCUUAUCUCUCCCAAUGUCAAUGGGAUUCUUUUCACUGGCUUCAAUGGAUGUUGGAUCUACUUGACAGUAGAAGGCACAGCCUUGGAGAUUUUUCCAAUUAUCUUCAAACACAUAAAAACUUUUCAGAAUCCCCCCUCCCUCACUGGUAUUUCUAACUUGCAGGGAACAGUAAAAUACAACUCUGCAGUUAAACUCCAAUAUUGGCUAUAGCUAAGAAACAGAAUUACACGCAGAGAUUAUAAUGAAAUCGCACAUCAAUUUAUCACAGAGUUUUUUAUAUUUUGUAUUAAGUAAUACCUAUAUUACAAAUAAUAUGUCUGAAUGUGAGUAAUUGAGUGUAAAAUCAUAUGCUUAUGGAAGUGUGACUGACAGAGCUAAGAACCACUUCAUGAGUUUUUCAGCAAUCCCAAUCAUGGAUAUCAAUCCUCAAUAAUUCUGGUUCAUUUUGAGAAACUAUUUGGUUAUAUUCCACUGCUGUUUCAUUGGUAUUCCCACAGCAGUUCUUAUCCAUUCUCAUUUCUGUUUUCUUUGUUAAAUUUCAUUUGGACUGUGUGGUCAUAGUAACAGUUCCAUCACUUCUCAAGUACCCCGUGCACUCAAUGUUAUUGAAAUGUCACUGUAAAUAGUGCUUUAUGCUGACAAUAUGCACUACACUCCUUAUGUAGAUUUAUUGCAAAGUAAUGAAUCUGUAUUGCUUUUUUAACCAGAGAUGUGUGAAUAAGUAAUGUAUCCUAAUAAGUCUUGUGUUGUUACAUAUAUAUAUUUUUGUAAAUGUUCUAAGUUUUGUUUUUAAGAAGCUGAACAAAAUACAUAUGGAUGUAGAAUAAUCA